CGCCUUGUCAUUCUGAACGCGCGCUUGUGAAGUGCUCGGUUGAUGGGUCUCAGAUCCAGAAUCGGACGGAGUCCACCAUCUUUCUUUGGCACCACAAAGUAGCGGCUGUAGAAGCCGCUUUCCUGCUCGUUCGGAGGGACGCGCUCUAUCGCUCCUUUCUCGAGCAGACUGAGAACUUCCUGUCUCAGAACGGGAAGGUUUUUGGGCAUAGUCAGUGACGGGACCACGCCAUUGAAGCGGGGAGGUCUGCGUUUGAACUGAAGAGAAUAUCCGUGCUGAAUUAUUCCCAGUAUCCACGGUGAAACGCCCGGGAUAGCUCUCCACGCGUCCAGGAAGUGACACAGCGGACGCGUUAGCUCUACGGCCACCGUAACCACUGAUGGUGUGUUUUGACCGGCGCCCCGUCCCUGCGAGGCUAGAACCACUGGCGGGAGGGGGGCUCGCGGUGGGCAUUGUGUGGUGUUGGCACUCUCGCGCCCUCGAGAGGCCAUUAUAAUCAUGGGUUGUGGCUCUGCGCUGCUCUGAGACAGGGCGAGUGACACAGUGUUGGGUGCAAGAGGAAGAAAAAGCUCUUUUUGUGGACGGAUACAUGUUUUUAUUGUGUAAUUCACACAAACAGCAUUUAAACCCACAUAGCAUUCGUCGCCCGUAGGAACAUGGGGAACAUGAUGCUCUUGAACAUGGCGCUUGGGGGCGGGGCCUCCAGCGCGCUCUCUCUUCCUCCUUAACGGCCCGUCAGGAAGAUGGCUUGGUAGCCGGGGAUGCAGAAACUGCCUCCCCUGCAGCAGCAUAGGCUUUGUCCGCCUGGUGGGCCGUGAAUCUGCACGGCUUGGAAGGCAGGCUGCGGUCCGAACCCAACGCAGAGGAAGACGGGCACAGGUGCGCGGCAACAGUCUCCUCGACGGGGGGCAUGCGCACAUACCCGUGGGCUUCCGCCCCGUCCACGUGUGCAAACAUAGCCUGCGUGGCAGAGUGGGUGCGCGCCGAUUGGGGUGCAGCCCACGACUUCACCACGUGCUCGUGCACGUCUGGGAAGAACGGGGUUCUUCUCCUCGGUGCGGCCUGGCGGCGGCUCGACUGGAGGAACCACGAGUCCAGCUUACUUUUCACAGGCUCGUCAGGUGCGUUCCAAGCGAGGUCCAGCUCCGUGACGGCCUUGCUGAGGACCCUGACGAGCUCCUCCUGGAGGUCUGCAGGGCCCUCUUGGUCGGGGCGGUCCGACUGAGACCCCCAAUCCUUUUCCGACGCCGAGAGCGACAUGGAGUCGUCUUCCUCGCCAGCUUCUUCGAAGGCGACGAAGUUCGCGACGGUGUUGGGGGGGCGGAAGCUAACUUCCGCGAAGUUGACGUCGUCGAACUCGACCUCGGGCGGGGGAGGGCCCACCAGCGGCUCGCUGGUGGCAGUGGGCCUCAUCCCUGCUGUUGCCCGAGCCACUUCUCUCCUGGCUCUGAGGGCGCGCACUGGCAGCUCGGCGCAGUGGGCGCACGUGUCGUCCGUGAGUGCCGCCUCCGCGUGGGCGAGGCCCAGGCAGGUGACACAGAACUGGUGAAGGUCGGGCGGGUCAAUGGGACCCGCGCAAAUCUGGCAUGUAGCAGCCAUCGGAUGCGGAGAGGAAAAAACAGGGGUGAGUAGUCCUCUAAUGCAACUUCUACGAUGAUUUAGAAAAGACUUCUAGCGUGAAGAAAGAGAUUCUGACGUAAUUUUCGCGCCCAUGCAUUUUAUACUGCCCGUGACGUGUCAGUAUUUGCAUGCUUCGCGUCAAUUGGCCAGCUGUCCCCAGCUGGCGUUAGCCCAUAAGAUGCGAAAGUGGAGAAGGGAGGAGUUCCCAUAUACGUCUUAGCUGACGUAAUGUUGAGUUACCGCCUUGAUAGGGAACUAAAAUAACAACUUUAUUCAACAAUUUGUCUCCUCUGUGUCUCUCCGCAUCACCGUUGCGCCAUUUUGGAGAAUAUCCGCAUACUGCGUACA
ensembl:lncRNA